AGCUCCAGUAGCGUAUAUUAGAGUUGUUGCGGUUAAAAAGCUCGUAGUUGGAUUUCUGUUGAGGACGAUUGGUCCAUGUUUUGCAUGAGAAUCAACUCGGCCUCGGCAUCCUCUUGAAAAUCGUGUUUGUGCUUCAUUGUAUGAUCCGAGAUUCAAGACUUUUACUUUGAGGAAAUUAGAGUGUUCACGGCAGGCUGUCGCCUUGAAUACAUUAGCAUGGAAUAAUACUAUAGGACCUUGGUUCUAUUUUGUUGGUUCCUAGAGCUGAGGUAAUGAUUAAUAGGGACGAUUGGGGGCACUCGUAUUAACGCGUCAGAGGUGAAAUUCUUGGAUUGCGUUACGACGAACUACUGCGAAAGCAUUUGCCAAGGAUGUUUUCA
rnacentral:rRNA from 1 species